rnacentral:rRNA from 1 species
UACGUAGGGUGCGAGCGUUGUCCGGAAUUAUUGGGCGUAAAGAGCUUGUAGGCGGUUUGUCGCGUCUGCUGUGAAAAUCCGGGGCUCAACCCCGGACUUGCAGUGGGGUACGGGCAGACUAGAGUGUGGUAAGGGGAGACUGGAAUUCCUGGUGUAGCGGUGAAAUGCGCAGAUAUCAGGAGGAACACCGAGUGGCGAAGGCAGGU